rnacentral:rRNA from 1 species
GUGGGGAAUCUUGCGCAAUGGGCGAAAGCCUGACGCAGCCAUGCCGCGUGAAUGAUGAAGGUCUUAGGAUUGUAAAAUUCUUUCACCGGGGACGAUAAUGACGGUACCCGGAGAAGAAGCCCCGGCUAACUUCGUGCCAGCAGCCGCGGUAAUACGAAGGGGGCUAGCGUUGCUCGGAAUUACUGGGCGUAAAGGGAGCGUAGGCGGAUAGUUCAGUCAGAGGUGAAAGCCCAGGGCUCAACCUUGGAAUUGCCUUUGAUACUGGCUGUCUUGAGUAUGGGAGAGGUUAGCGGAACUCCGAGUGUAGAGGUGAAAUUCGUAGAUAUUCGGAAGAACACCAGUGGCGAAGGCGGCUCACUGGCUCGAUACUGACGCUGAGGUGCGAAAGCGUGGGGAGCAAACAGGAUUAGAUACCCGUGUAGUCC